UACGAAGGGGGCUAGCGUUGUUCGGAAUCACUGGGCGUAAAGCGCACGUAGGCGGAUUGUUAAGUCGGGGGUGAAACCCUGAGGCUCAACCUCAGAACUGCCUUCGAUACUGGCAAUCUCGAGUCCGGAAGAGGUGAGUGGAACUGCGAGUGUAGAGGUGAAAUUCGUAGAUAUUCGCAAGAACACCAGUGGCGAAGGCGGCUCACUGGCCCGGUACUGACGCUGAGGUGCGAAAGCGUGGGGAGCAAACAGG
rnacentral:rRNA from 1 species